rnacentral:rRNA from 1 species
UCAAAUGACUUUUGAACUUAGUGGCGGACGGGUGAGUAACGCGUGAGCAACCUGCCUUUCAGAGGGGGAUAACAUUUGGAAACAGAUGCUAAUACCGCAUAAGAUUACAGUACCGCAUGAUACAGUGAUCAAAGGAGCAAUCCGCUGAAAGAUGGGCUCGCGUCCGAUUAGAUAGUUGGUGAGGUAACGGCUCACCAAGUCGACGAUCGGUAGCCGGACUGAGAGGUUGAACGGCCACAUUGGGACUGAGACACGGCCCAGACUCCUACGGGAGGCAGCAGUGGGGAAUAUUGCACAAUGGGCGAAAGCCUGAUGCAGCAACGCCGCGUGAGGGAAGACGGUUUUCGGAUUGUAAACCUCUGUUUUCGGUGACGAAUAAAUGACGGUAACCGAGUAGGAAGCCACGGCUAACUACGUGCCAGCAGCCGCGGUAAUACGUAGGUGGCAAGCGUUAUCCGGAAUUACUGGGUGUAAAGGGAGCGCAGGCGGGAUAGCAAGUCAGCUGUGAAAACUAUGGGCUCAACCCCUAAACUGCAGUUGAAACUGUUAUUCUUGAGUGGAGUAGAGGCAAGCGGAAUUCCGAGUGUAGCGGUGAAAUGCGUAGAUAUUCGGAGGAACACCAGUGGCGAAGGCGGCUUGCUGGGCUCUAACUGACG